rnacentral:rRNA from 1 species
AUUGAACGCUGGCGGCAUGCCUUACACAUGCAAGUCGAACGGCAGCACGGGUGCUUGCACCUGGUGGCGAGUGGCGAACGGGUGAGUAAUACAUCGGAACGUACCUUAUCGUGGGGGAUAACGCAGCGAAAGCUGUGCUAAUACCGCAUACGCCCUGAGGGGGAAAGCGGGGGAUCGCAAGACCUCGCGCGAUUAGAGCGGCCGAUGCCUGAUUAGCUAGUUGGGGGGUAAAAGCCCACCAAGGCGACGAUCAGUAGCUGGUCUGAGAGGACGAUCAGCCACACUGGGACUGAGACACGGCCCAGACUCCUACGGGAGGCAGCAGUGGGGAAUUUUGGACAAUGGGGGCAACCCUGAUCCAGCAAUGCCGCGUGAGUGAAGAAGGCCUUCGGGUUGUAAAGCUCUUUUGUCAGGGAAGAAACACCGGCUCUAACACAGUCCGGGAAUGACGGUACCUGAAGAAUAAGCGCCGGCUAACUACGUGCCAGCCGCCGCCGUAA